ACAGUGGAGAAUCGAAAAAUGGUGCGUCGCUGAAACUCUGAAUCUGCUCCCCACCUCGUCUCCCUCCCUGCUGCCUCCUCCUGCGGCCGGCCGGGCAUCCUCCGAUUUCGGCAGAUCCACUCGCGUCGGAGCUCCUCUCUCUACUCCGACCGAGCUUCCGUAGAGAGAGAAAACCGGCGAUUCACUCGAAUCGGGUCUCUCUCUCUCUCUCUCUCUACGCAAGCGUUUCACACAGAGAGAGACAGAGACGGAGAGAGAUUGGCGAGGUUUUCUUCUAGGUUUUGGGUUUUUUCGGUCGGGGAGGGGACAGUGAAAUCUCGAGAGCUCGCGGGGGCAGAGGGCGAGGGAGAGGGGGCGUUGGCAGCGGCGGCAGCAAGAUGAUGAUAUCGCGAGGGCUGUUCGGCUGGUCGCCGCCGCACAUCCAGCCGCUGACGCCGGUCUCGGAGGUGUCCGAGCCGCCCGAGUCCCCGUCCCCGUACGUCGACGCGAGCGUCGAGGGCGGGGGCCCCGCCGGGGCCCAGGUGGAGCCGGAGGAGGAGAUGGAGGAGCCGGAGGAGGUGGAGCCGCCCCCCGCUGCGGUGCCCUUCUCGCGGCUCUUCGCCUGCGCGGACCAGUUCGAUUGGGGCCUGAUGAUCGUGGGAUCCCUCGCCGCGGCCGCCCACGGCACCGCCCUCGUGUUCUACUUGCAUUACUUCGCGAAGAUUGUGGACGUCCUUCGCUUAGGACGUGUGCAAGAGUCUCCUCCGGGUGGAGCUGCGCCGCCUCCUCCUUCUGAUCUCGAGAUGUUUGACCAGUUUAAAGAGCUCUCUUUGUCACUUCUUUGGAUUGCAGUUGGCGUCUUUGCUUUUGGUUGGAUUGAGGUCUCAUGCUGGAUAUUGACGGGGGAAAGACAGACAGCAGUCAUCCGGUCAAAGUAUGUCCAAGUGUUGCUUAACCAGGACAUGAGUUUUUUCGAUACAUAUGGAAACAAUGGGGACAUCGUGAGCCAAGUAUUGAGUGACGUGCUACUCAUUCAGUCUGCUCUCAGUGAAAAAGUUGGAAAUUAUAUUCAUAACAUGGCCACUUUUUUCAGUGGGCUAGUUAUUGGAUUUGUCAACUGUUGGCAGAUUGCCCUGAUAACAUUAGCAACUGGUCCUUUCAUUGUUGCUGCUGGAGGAAUAUCCAAUAUAUUUCUUCAUAGGCUUGCUGAGAAUAUCCAAGAUGCAUAUGCGGAAGCAGCUAGCAUUGCUGAACAGGCAGUUUCAUGUAUUAGGACCUUAUAUGCAUUCACCAAUGAAACAUUGGCCAAGUAUUCAUAUGCAACUUCACUACAAGCAACACUGAGAUAUGGUAUACUGAUAAGUCUUGUGCAAGGGCUUGGGCUUGGAUUUACAUAUGGGCUUGCAAUAUGUUCUUGCGCCUUACAACUUUGGGUUGGGAGGUUCCUAGUUACAAAUGGAAAAGCUCAUGGUGGUCAAGUCAUAGCAGCCUUGUUUGCUAUAAUACUAAGUGGCCUAGGUCUGAAUCAAGCUGCAACAAAUUUCUACUCAUUUGAUCAAGGAAGGAUUGCUGCUUAUAGACUUUUUGAGAUGAUUAGCCGAUCAUCCUCUUCAGUCAAUCAUGAUGGGAAUAUUCUGGAGUCUGUUCAAGGAAAUAUUGAGUUCCGGAACGUUUAUUUCAGCUAUCUUUCUCGUCCUGAAAUCCCUAUUCUGAGUGGAUUUUAUCUCACCGUACCUGCUAAGAAAGCCGUUGCACUUGUUGGACGGAACGGUUCAGGGAAGAGCAGUAUCAUUCCUUUGAUGGAGCGGUUUUAUGAUCCCACGUUAGGAGAAGUUCUUCUUGAUGGAGAAAAUAUUAAGAAUAUGAAAUUGGAAUGGCUAAGACGCCAAAUAGGACUGGUUACCCAGGAACCUGCCUUACUAAGCCUGAGCAUCAUUGAUAACAUUGCUUAUGGCCGGGAUGUUAAUAUGGAUCAAAUUGAGGAAGCUGCCAAAAUUGCACAUGCGCAUACUUUCAUCACUUCACUUGAAAAAGGAUACGAGACACAGGUCGGUAGAGCUGGUUUAGCGUUGACAGAAGAACAGAAAAUUAAACUUUCUAUUGCGAGAGCUGUGCUUCUAAAUCCAUCAAUUCUUCUGCUUGAUGAGGUCACUGGUGGCCUUGAUUUUGAGGCUGAAAAGGUUGUCCAGGCAGCUCUUGAUCUCCUUAUGUUGGGGCGCUCUACUAUAAUCAUUGCCCGGCGUCUUAGCCUCAUCAGGAAUGCUGAUUACAUUGCUGUGAUGGAGGAGGGACAGCUCGUUGAAAUGGGCACACAUGAUGAAUUAGUAGGGCUGGAUGGUCUUUAUGCAGAGCUUCUUAGAUGCGAAGAAGCAGCAAAGCUUCCUAGGAGGAUGCCUGUUAAACAUUAUAAAGGAGCUACUGCUGCUUUUGAAAUUGAAAAGGAUUCUUCAGUAAGUCAUAGCUUCCAAGAACCUUCAUCUCCCAAGCUGGUAAAAUCACCCUCUCUUCAGCGGGUUCCUGGCGUUCAUGGAUUUAGACAACAAGAAUCACCAAAAGUUCGGAGCCCACCUCCUGAGCAUAUGCAGGAAAAUGGUAUCGCAACAGAUGCAGGGGAUAAGGAGCCAUCAAUGAGAAGGCAGGAUAGUUUUGAGAUGAGAUUGCCAGAGUUACCAAAGAUUGAUGUUCAGUCUGUACAACAACAAGUGAACGGUUCAGAUCCUGAGUCUCCUGUUUCACCCCUUCUGACAUCAGAUCCGAAAAAUGAGCGUUCACAUUCUCAGACAUUUAGUCGACCCCAUAGUCACUCUGAUGAUAUUCCAAUAAAAUCAAAGGAUGCAAAGGACAGGACACAUGGGGAAGCACCAUCACUGUGGCGAUUGGCAGAGCUUAGUUUUCCAGAAUGGCUUUAUGCUGCAUUAGGCAGUGUUGGUGCUGCAAUAUUUGGUUCUUUUAAUCCUCUCCUUGCUUAUGUAAUCGCAUUGAUAGUAACAGCAUACUAUAGAUCUCGUGGCGAUCAUCUGAGGCAGGAGGUUGAUAAAUGGUGCUUGAUCAUAGCUUGCAUGGGAAUAGUGACCGUAGUGGCCAAUUUUCUUCAGCACUUCUAUUUUGGUAUCAUGGGGGAGAAAAUGACAGAACGAGUUCGUAGGAUGAUGUUUUCAGCAAUGCUUCGCAAUGAAGUUGGAUGGUUUGAUGGAGAGGAGAAUAGUGCUGACACUUUAUCCAUGCGCUUGGCAAAUGAUGCUACUUUUGUCCGAGCUGCCUUUAGUAAUCGUCUUUCCAUAUUUAUACAGGACAGUGCUGCUGUUAUUGUGGCUAUUCUUAUAGGCAUGCUGUUAGAAUGGCGACUAGCACUUGUGGCUUUCGCAACCCUGCCCGUUCUUACUGUUUCAGCUAUUGCACAGAAACUGUGGCUUGGUGGCUUCUCAAGGGGCAUCCAGGAAAUGCACCGGAAGGCAUCUUUGGUCCUUGAGGAUGCAGUAAGAAACAUAUACACUGUGGUUGCAUUUUGUGCUGGUAACAAAGUCAUGGAACUGUACAGAUCACAAUUAAAGAGAAUACUCAAGCAGAGUUUUCUUCAUGGAGUGGCAAUUGGUUUUGCGUUUGGUUUCUCCCAGUUUCUCCUUUUCGCUUGCAAUGCCCUUCUUCUGUGGUACACUGCAUUAUUGAUUAAGAAUAAAGAAAUGGAUCCACCAACGGGCAUUAAGGAAUUUAUGGUUUUCUCCUUUGCAACAUUUGCUCUAGUGGAGCCUUUUGGACUGGCUCCAUAUAUACUGAAACGACGGAAAUCUCUUACCUCUGUAUUCGAGAUAAUUGACCGAGCGCCUAAAAUCGACCCAGAUGAUAAUUCAGCGCUGAAGCCUCCUAAUGUCUAUGGGAGCAUUGAGUUAAAAAAUGUUGACUUUUGUUAUCCAACUCGGCCAGAAGUGUUGGUCCUGAGUAAUUUCAGUCUUAAGGUAAAUGGGGGACAAACUGUGGCAGUGGUUGGAGUUUCUGGAUCUGGAAAGAGCACCAUAAUCUCUUUGAUUGAAAGAUUCUAUGAUCCAGUUGCUGGUCAGGUUUUGCUAGAUGGACGAGAUUUGAAGCUUUACAACUUGAGAUGGUUGAGAAACCACCUAGGCCUUGUUCAGCAGGAACCCAUUAUAUUUUCAACAACCAUCAGAGAAAAUAUCAUCUAUGCCAGGCACAAUGCAAGCGAAGCAGAGAUGAAGGAGGCUGCUAGAAUAGCAAAUGCACAUCAUUUCAUCAGCAGCUUGCCUCAUGGUUAUGACACGCAUGUGGGGAUGAGAGGUGUUGAUCUAACCCCAGGACAGAAACAGAGAAUUGCAAUUGCUCGUGUAGUUCUGAAGAAUGCUCCCAUAUUGUUAUUAGAUGAAGCUAGCUCAUCCAUUGAAUCUGAGUCAAGUAGGGUGGUGCAGGAGGCUCUUGAUACGCUGGUGAUGGGAAACAAGACCACCAUUCUUAUAGCCCACAGAGCUGCAAUGAUGCGGCAUGUUGACAACAUUGUAGUUCUAAAUGGUGGACGCAUUGUGGAAGAAGGAUCCCAUGAUUCUUUAAUGUCCAAGAAUGGUUUGUAUGUACGUUUGAUGCAACCUCACUUUGGGAAGGGCUUGCGUCAACACCGUCUCAUUUAGCAGUAGCAGUGGGGUUUAUGUGGAUUGUAGUUUUGGUUCUUCAAAGUACCUAAUUCUCCCCGCCGAUUGCUGGAGAUGCUGAUGAGAGAUAAAGCAUGGGGAGAUUUGCCGGAGAUGCUUGCUCGGUCUUCUCAGAAUGUUUGAUGAAUGCCAGAAGGCACACAGAUGAAAGAAAUGACCUAGGCUUCUAUAAAUGCUAAAGCAGGAAAGAUCACAUUGUCAAAAUAUCGGGGGAGAAUACAUAUUUAGGUGUCCAGUUGGCUUGUUGAGGAUGUGGUUCAGGUUAGAUGCAUAUUCUUUUGGAGGCAAGCACCAUUGUAUAAAAGCCUAAUUAGCCUCUGGGGCAGGAUCGAUUUGUUAAUUUAUUGGUAAAAGAGUGAUAUAGUGAUUCUGAUCGGGAUGAGAUUUCGCGGCCCUGAAGGAGGUUCAUUGUUCAAUUCUCCUAUUCGUGUCUUAGCAGUUGCUCAGCUUGGUCUAGAAUUCACCUCGGUUGACAUGCCCGAGAGGAUUACUCGUUGUUGGGGUCAUUCAGGCAAUGUCUACAAAUUCAAUGCGCCCUACACGAGGCCUUCACCACAAGUUCUGCAGCUUAGACUUUGGAUAUUUAAAAAAACAUGGCAAAUUGUCAUAAAAAAUCCUAACCUUGCCUAUUGUGGCACAGAUACUCCCAACUUUUACGUGUGGGGAUAUGUAUCCUAUAUUUCAGUUAUAUUUAAGCUAUAUUUGUCACA